rnacentral:rRNA from 1 species
UUGGAGGGCAAGUCUGGUGCCAGCAGCCGCGGUAAUUCCAGCUCCAAUAGCGUAUAUUAAAGUUGUUGCAGUUAAAAAGCUCGUAGUUGAAUUUCGGAAUCUGUCCAUCGGUCGGGCUUCACUGUCCGUACUGGUGUGGUGGGUUCUUACCUUCUGAAUAACCAGCAUGCCAUUCACUUGGUGCGUUGGGGAAGCAGGACUAUUACCUUGAAAAAAUUAGAGUGCUCAAAGCAGGCUAGUGCCUGAAUACAUUAGCAUGGAAUAAUAAAAUAGGACGGCAUGGUUCUAUUUUGUUGGUUUCUAGGAUCACCGUAAUGAUUAAUAGGGAUAGUUGGGGGCAUUAGUAUUCAAUUGUCAGAGGUGAAAUUCUUGGAUUUAUUGAAGACUAACUUCUGCGAAAGCAUUUGCCAAGGAUGUUUUCAUUAAUCAAGAACGAAAGUUAGGGGAUCGAAGACGAUCAGAUACCGUCGUAGUCUUAACCAUAAACUAUGCCGACUAGGGAUCGGACGAUGUUAAUUUUUUAAUGACUCGUUCGGCGCCUUACGGGAAAC